UGUACUCCUCUUAGUCAGAUAGACUGUUCCGCCUUGGAAGCGAUAAGGUUGCAAUCGUAUCUCGUAUCAUUCAUCUCCUUUUAGGGACAACUCGAGCCAGUUUUAAGAAAGACCAUUUAAUACAAAACGUUCUACGAGUUGAAGAACGUUUUCCGAAUAAACUUGUGUGUUCCAAAUCAGCAGGGAAAACGAGACUGAACGGAUUGUAAGUUAUUAGGAAGAAUCGUGUCCCUUUAAGGUUGCCUCGUUUGCAGAUAUCCUUGAAUACAUAAAUGAACCUAGUUUAAGCUAUCACAGAUUACGCUAAUAGAGAAAUACUGUCAAAAAUAGUGCUAACAAUAUCACGCUCUAAUUGAACACGUAAUUUUUCUUUUUAUCAAAAAUUAUCGAAAACAGCUUUCAAUUAUUAUUCAAAUAACGAGUCUAGCUCGGUUGUAGCUGAAGUUCGUGACGGAACGACAUUUAUUUAUCGGUUACAAUUAUUUGCACGUAAUGUGCGUGCAGCCACGCUUAUAUUCCGUGUUUCAUCGUCUUCGUGCCAUUGAAUUCAUCGCUACCGUUAUACCCCUUUCGACUGGAUACCCGCCUCGUCGUGUCUGUUUGAGUUAAAGCGCCGCUCCAGCCGAGUAUACAAGCGAAGACUACACCGAACGGGCUCUCCUCUUCGCUCCCUUCGACUCGAUACGAACGGCUGCAUUUUCAGAACGGUACUCCUAACUGUAUCUUACACAUUCGUAUACACGUACACGUGUACAGAGUAUAGUACGUCUGUUUCUACUCACCUGUCGGCAUCGCGACCAAAGCACCCGCACAUACCGAUUAGACAACAAGGGAAAACGAUCACGUCGAUGACCCUAGAGGGGACGAAUCGCACGGAUGGAACUAGCGCCUCCGGUUCUCACGAAUCAAAUGAAUCUUUAACUCACACGUAUCGGAUUGUUGUGCAAGAAUUAGGGAACGAUUAACAUCGGCCGGCGUCUGGCGACUGACGAGUGACUGGGACGAUCUCGAAAAAUAUUUUCAUUAGGUAACCUGCGAGGCGUUCGAGUACUAUCUAAAGAAUUUUAAUAUUCAUGAGGUAAACCACAAUGAACUCCAUUUCCCGGGCUUGCGCAUAAUCACUAUUUACGCUGUACGUUAUAAUGUUCUUGUUAAAAUGAAUCAUAAUAUUUACUAUAACUCCUAAUUUAGAAAAUUCGAAUUGUAGCAACGCGAUGAACGAGGUAUAAUUCUUUUGAUAAAUCACUAUAUCGUUCUACUGUUAGUUUAUCUAUACACAAUAAGCAAUCAUAGAAAUGUCAGUUAUCUUCCAACAAUCUCUCUUUAAUAAAAGACAAGUAAACAUCAAUAACGAGGAAGGUAUAAAUGUUGCACAUAAUUAAGGAACAAUCGGGUGGUCGAGAAAAUAAUGCUCGCAAAUCGGAGGAGAGGAGACGGCUUAAACCGUUAAUCGUUUUUAGAAAUGUGUUUCAGUAAACUGUACUGGGUGCACCGAGUGCGGAUCAAAGGGAAAGGAGAAAAUGAGCGACGAAAGAGGGAGAAGAGAGAAUCUCCGGGCUGAUUGUGAGUCGAGUCGAACAACGUGUAGCGGAUCUUCUAGUACACACGUAAGUAUGUACGUGCGGGUCGCGUGUAGGGAUACUCACGUAAUGUAGGCCCGUUCCUGGAGAUACCGUAAGACCUUGCUGUUACGUCACUAGUAGAAGCCGCAUGACUAGAAGAAAAAGGAUACCCGCGCGAAGGAAGAGAAGGAAACAGGAACUGUGCCCUCAGGCUAUGCACGUCUUUGAAUCUCAAAAUCUUGGAAAUUUGCCAAUACAAUUAUAGAAUUUCCUUUAA